rnacentral:rRNA from 1 species
GCGGCGGACGGGUGAGUAACACGUGGAUAACCUACCUAUAAGACUGGGAUAACUUCGGGAAACCGGAGCUAAUACCGGAUAAUAUUUUGAACCGCAUGGUUCAAAAGUGAAAGACGGUCUUGCUGUCACUUAUAGAUGGAUCCGCGCUGCAUUAGCUAGUUGGUAAGGUAACGGCUUACCAAGGCAACGAUGCAUAGCCGACCUGAGAGGGUGAUCGGCCACACUGGAACUGAGACACGGUCCAGACUCCUACGGGAGGCAGCAGUAGGGAAUCUUCCGCAAUGGGCGAAAGCCUGACGGAGCAACGCCGCGUGAGUGAUGAAGGUCUUCGGAUCGUAAAACUCUGUUAUUAGGGAAGAACAUAUGUGUAAGUAACUGUGCACAUCUUGACGGUACCUAAUCAGAAAGCCACGGCUAACUACGUGCCAGCAGCCGCGGUAAUACGUAGGUGGCAAGCGUUAUCCGGAAUUAUUGGGCGUAAAGCGCGCGUAGGCGGUUUUUUAAGUCUGAUGUGAAAGCCCACGGCUCAACCGUGGAGGGUCAUUGGAAACUGGAAAACUUGAGUGCAGAAGAGGAAAGUGGAAUUCCAUGUGUAGCGGUGAAAUGCGCAGAGAUAUGGAGGAACACCAGUGGCGAAGGCGACUUUCUGGUCUGUAACUGACGCUGAUGUGCGAAAGCGUGGGGAUCAAACAGGAUUAGAUACCCUGGUAGUCCACGCCGUAAACGAUGAGUGCUAAGUGUUAGGGGGUUUCCGCCCCUUAGUGCUGCAGCUAACGCAUUAAGCACUCCGCCUGGGGAGUACGACCGCAAGGUUGAAACUCAAAGGAAUUGACGGGGACCCGCACAAGCGGUGGAGCAUGUGGUUUAAUUCGAAGCAACGCGAAGAACCUUACCAAAUCUUGACAUCCUUUGACAACUCUAGAGAUAGAGCUUUCCCCUUCGGGGGACAAAGUGACAGGUGGUGCAUGGUUGUCGUCAGCUCGUGUCGUGAGAUGUUGGGUUAAGUCCCGCAACGAGCGCAACCCUUAAGCUUAGUUGCCAUCAUUAAGUUGGGCACUCUAAGUUGACUGCCGGUGACAAACCGGAGGAAGGUGGGGAUGACGUCAAAUCAUCAUGCCCCUUAUGAUUUGGGCUACACACGUGCUACAAUGGACAAUACAAAGGGCAGCGAAACCGCGAGGUCAAGCAAAUCCCAUAAAGUUGUUCUCAGUUCGGAUUGUAGUCUGCAACUCGACUACAUGAAGCUGGAAUCGCUAGUAAUCGUAGAUCAGCAUGCUACGGUGAAUACGUUCCCGGGUCUUGUACACACCGCCCGUCACACCACGAGAGUUUGUAACACCCGAAGCCGGUGGAGUA